UCGACGGGAAAUCCAAUCAAGAAAACCCUGACCCUCAAGCAGCUACUGUAUUUGACCAGCUCACACCAGCUAGGCCUCCUCCAAAACUCAGAUAAAUAUUUGAGCCACCAAAAAAAAAACGAGAACAGAUCGGUCUGAAUCGUUAAGAACUGAAGCUAACAUCAUAGAGGUACAUCCUUCCAAGAAUCCAUCAAAACAACAUGCUGAACAACUUCAAGAACUCUCUUCAAAAGACCACACUUUCCUGAAAUAAAUAAAAGAUGCCAAUAUUAAAAUAAAUCAGUUACAUGUAUUGUUAAAUAUUUUAAUACUAGCUGUAAAUGCUACUGCCUUUGAUGUUUGCUUCCUACAUGUAUAUCAUAAUGAAAUAUUGACAAGAUAAUAGCUAAUGUUU